rnacentral:ncRNA from 2 species
CUAAAACUUGGGGUUGGGAAACUCCGGUGAAAUUCCGGGACUGUGCCGCAACUGUGAUGGGAUUGCCUAAGUCAGAAUGCCAAUUCUCAG